rnacentral:rRNA from 1 species
AGCGAACGCUGGCGGCAGGCCUAACACAUGCAAGUCGAACGAACCUUUCGGGGUUAGUGGCGGACGGGUGAGUAACACGUGGGAACGUGCGUUUAGGUUCGGAAUAACUCAGGGAAACUUGUGCUAAUACCGAAUGUGCCCUUCGGGGGAAAGAUUAAUCGCCUUUAGAGCGGCCCGCGUCUGGUUAGCUAGUUGGUUGAGGUAAUGGCUCACCAAGGCGACGAUCAGUAGCUGGUCUGAGAGGAUGAUCAGCCACAUUGGGACUGAGACACGGCCCAAACUCCUACGGGAGGCAGCAGUGGGGAAUCUUGCGCAAUGGGCGAAAGCCUGACGCAGCCAUGCCGCGUGAAUGAUGAAGGUCUUAGGAUUGUAAAAUUCUUUCACCGGGGACGAUAAUGACGGUACCCGGAGAAGAAGCCCCGGCUAACUUCGUG